GAGUAGUAAAUGUUUUGAACAGGAAACUUAAAGAAUUUGGCGGUGUAUAUUCUAUUUAGAGGAAUAUGUUUUUUAAUUGAUAAUCCACAUGUAUUUUACUUAAAUUAAUUUAUUUUGUAUAUCUCCGUCUUAAAAAAACUUUUUAAAAUAUUUUUUAGUUUUUAUAAUUUAAAAUAAGUCAGGUCAAGGUGCAGAUUAUAUUUAAGUUAAAAUGUAUUACAAUAAAUUUAUUUUUGGAUUAAGUUUUAAAAUAAUAAUUUAUAAAAUUGGAUUUAUAAGUAAAAUUUUUUAUAUAAUAAUUUUUUGAAUUGUGUUAAUAUACAUGCACACAUCGCCCG
rnacentral:rRNA from 1 species